rnacentral:rRNA from 1 species
UAAACGAUGCCAACUAGCAAUCCGUCUGAGUUGUUUUUCGAUUCGACGGGCAGCCCCGGGAAACCUUUAGUCGGGUUCAGGGGGAAGUAUGGUUGCAAAGCUGAAACUUAAAGGAAUUGACGGAAGGGCGCACCAGGAGUGGAGCCUGCGGCUUAAUUUGACUCAACACGGGAAAACUCACCCAGCCCGGACACUGAAAGGAUUGACAGAUUAAGAGCUCUUUCUUGAUUCGGUGGAUGGUGGUGCAUGGCCGUUCUUAGUUGGUGGAGCGAUUUGUCUAGUUAAUUCCGAUAACGAACGAGACUCUAUCCUACUAAAUAGGCAAAAUGUUUAUUACACUUUUUGUUCUUCUUAGAGGGACAAUGUGCUUUCAGCACUACGAAAUAGAGCAAUAACAGGUCUGUGAUGCCCUUAGAUGUCCGGGGCCGCACGCGCGCUACACUGAAGAAAUAAAAAAGUGGUGCCCCUUGUUUGAAAAAACUGGGAAAUCUUCGAAUCUUCUUCAUGAUUGGGAUUGGGGCUUGCAAUUGUUCCCCUUGAACGAGGAAUUCCCAGUAAGCGUUAGUCAUCAGCUAACGUUGAUUACGUCCCCGCCCUUUGUGCACACCGCCCGUCGCUACUACCGAUUGAAUGAUUUAGUGAGGCCUUCCGAUUGAUUUCUUAUGUUGCUUUUGUAACAAAGUAGAUCGAAAAGAUGUCCUAACUUGAUCA